GCAGACACACUCUGUUCUCUGCUGCUUACUUCAGCCUGGGACUUUUUCUGUCUGCUACAUAAACUGGCAGAAUGCAACGUCGCUAGCUUUACCUAAACGCUGGUGUUGUGUUCUGCUACAUUACU